CCUCCUCUAAUAGUAAUGUGUUGAUGCUGCAUGAAUAAUAUAUUUAUUGUGCAGAUGAAAUAGAUUGGACUGUGCUGUGUGUUCAGAGUGCAAUAGCACAUAGAUAUAUGAGCAUCAUGAGCAUAGUGUAGUGAACACAACAGACUGUGAUCGCUGGCAGAACAUUCAUCAUGCUGUUGUCUAGUUUAUCAUAAGUGUUCUACACACACACAAAUCUGACCUACACACUGAUACUGAGAGAUGACUAACAUUACUGUAGUGUAUGGUGUGAGUUAGAGAGUUCACACUGGAUAAUGUGCAGGAAAGAGAUUCAAAGUGAUUGUAAUACUGGAAGUGCUUUAAGAUGUUUAUUUCUUUCUUUUUUUCUUUAUUUAUUUUUGUUAAAUCAGCAUGAGUGUAGUGGUUAGCACUGUUGCCUUGCACCUCCAGGAUCCGGGUUGAUUCCCAGCCAGGCUCGAUUCCCGUCUCUAUGUGCAUGGAGUUUGCAUGUUCUCCCCAUGCUUGGUGGGUUUCUUUCAGGUACUCCAGUUUCCUCCCAAAGUCAUGUACUGUAGGUUAGGUUAAAUGGUGUUCUGAAAUUGUCCGUAGCGUAUGUGUGUGUGCCCUGUGAUGGACUGGCGCCCUGUCUAGGGUGUACCCUGCCUUGUGCUCUAAAUCUCCUGGGAUAGGCUCCAGGCCCCCCGUGACCCUGAAUUCAGGAUUAAGUGGUAUAGAAGAUGAGUGAGUGAGUGAGCCGAAAGAGGAAAGAUACUGUACAAGUCAGUACAGGAGAAAAACAGACUUUUUGAAAACAGCUAAUGUUUGUAGCUUAUACUUACUCUGCUUUUUUUUCUUUUUAACAAGCUGCCUGGGUGUUUCAGAGUGACAGAAAAUGGACAGAAGAUGAGAGAAUAAAAAUGGAGAAAUCUGCUUUAUGUGUUGAUGAGUGUGGAACUAGUUAACACACCUGUUUAUGUGUACAGUCUGAAGUUGAUUAAUAACCUCUCCAUUAAACAUCCAGUCUGACAUUCACAACAUAAAUUAGAAGGUAUUAUUUACAUAAUGUGUUAAAAGUUUAGGAGACUUAAAUGCAAAAGGAGAAUGGCUGUGAGUGCUAUUGGAAGAAAAUACAUCAGUCAUGUAACAUACGUAAAGCCCUAUACAUACUGAAGGAAAAAUAAUUCUACAAUUUAUUAUUGUAGGGAAAUAUUUAAUUCAAUUGUGUGUUUCAUGAUGUUAUGUGUUCUUAUGAACAGAGUGUUUUAUCUAUGACCUCGACACACUGCUUUGAAGGAGGUGGUAAUUCACAAUUCUACAGCUGAGGAGAACCCAACAGAUGUGUGCAUUGUUUUGGAGGGCACCAAAGUCCUAAUAGGUUGUGGAAACAGAACCACAGCUUCCAUGCUGGUAAUGGGACUGAUUUAUGUCCUCAAACUUGAGAACCCCAAAACACUAAAGUACACCCCAGUGUUCCAGAAACUGUUUUUGAAACUUGAUGGAACAAAAAUGGUAAAAUGGGAGUCUCAAAUGUAAACUAAUGGAAUGAGCUGCCUGUACUGUAAGUACAGACUUUUUGCCUCAUGCAAAUAAUAAUAAGACUCUUAUUUCCAAAUACAUUGAAUGCAAGAAUGUUCUUUUGCACUUAAUUAUUUCAAAAAAAGGGAAAUGUAAACUGUACUUUGACUUAAAACAUCAAUAUUACAUAAAGUUUGUUUUUAUUUAAAUGCAUUGUGAGGUGUUACUUUUUAAUUAGUUUUAAAUGUUUUAUAAAUAAAAUGUUAUUCAAUUCUUAGAAGAAAUUUGUAAUGAGGAAUAUUAGGUAUAACUUACCUAUUUUUUGUUGUUGUUUGUCACAGCUAUUAAUAUUAGGUACUUUUUAUGCAAAUUUAUAGGAUAUAAUCUACCCAAACAAAAUAAGUGCAAUUUUUUACCUCACAUUUAUUGAGUAGAUUCUAUUUUUUUUUUAGUGUAUCUAUCUAUAUGUAUUAUGGAUUCUGUGUAUUUUUUUUAUUUAUUAACAAUCUACUCAUCAAUUCAAUUUCUUUACUUUAUUUUUUUCCCUUUUAACAUUUACAGUAUGAGUGUGCCCCCUUGUGGACGAUCUAAGUGUAGUCAGCAGUACUUCUUCCUUGUUGUUUAACGGCGUUUGGAAUCCAGUAGGUUACAUUACAGUCAUCUGUAGGUCUCAUUCUCCCUCAUCUUCCCGGCCAAGAAACAUAAAAUGUACCAACAGCAAACAAUGAAGCUGUAAAGGGUCCAUGUCAAGAUAAAUUUUAUAAUAAAUGUUGUAAACUAUGUUAGUUUUUAAAAUGUUGUAGGACUGACCUAAGAGGAAGCACAGACAUACACAACACAUGAAUACGGGCAGUGUUACUGAUGAAGCAUCUCGUCCAUUGUACUUUCUUGUGUACGCGGCCUUGUGUCUAAACGCCAUAGUGCAUGUGAGAAUAGUUUUAAUUUAAUUUUAAUGCACACAAAAGUGUGUGAGUGAGAGUGAGAGAGUGUGUGCAAAACUGCAGUGAUACAGAGAGCAAAGAAUAAAACCCUAUGGAUUAGUAGGUAACGGAUCGUAGGUAGUAGGUAAGUGAUCAGUAAAAGAGAUUCCACUUCUAUCAGUCAGCUUCUGACCCACGAUGCACCUGUAUGUCUCCACUCCACUGCAAUAGAUAAACCGUUAAUCAUAUCAAAUAAAAGACACAAAAACGUGUAACAUAUAACACAGAUCACUGCCAGACUCCAUCAGAAUCUCUCUCCUCUUAUACACUCCACUUUCUCCUGCACUAAUAAGGAGCUACACCUCAGUAUGGGGACGAGAUCUAAAUACACUGAUGAGGCGUUAAUGUUCUCCACAUACACAGAUCUGUAUUUACACACACAGCAGUUGUAUAUUUGUAUGAAAGUGAUGGAAUAAAAACACAAGUUAAUGA